rnacentral:rRNA from 1 species
UACGUAGGGUGCAAGCGUUAAUCGGAAUUACUGGGCGUAAAGCGUGCGCAGGCGGUUUUGUAAGUCCGUCGUGAAAGCCCCGGGCUCAACCUGGGAAUUGCGAUGGAGACUGCAAGGCUUGAAUCUGGCAGAGGGGGGUAGAAUUCCACGUGUAGCAGUGAAAUGCGUAGAGAUGUGGAGGAACACCGAUGGCGAAGGCAGCCCCCUGGGUCAAGAUUGGCGCUCAUGCACGAAAGCGUGGGGAGCAAACAGG